CUCGGCGAUAAAAGCUCCCG
rnacentral:snRNA from 1 species